rnacentral:misc_RNA from 1 species
AAAUAAAAAUCGGGGUUGUUGCUGCCUUUCGUGGUGACGCUUCGGAACUGGGUCGUCUUUGCCUUCGGGUUAAGUGACCUAAAAUUUCGGAUGAUUUUUCGAACGUAUUUAAAUUUUUUUACGUACGUUUGUGAUAUCGAAUAUUAGAUGCGGUCAUUUUCAUGACUCGCGUCUAUAAUUAUUUCAUC